CACAGCCGCGGUAAUACGUAGGUGGCAAGCGUUGUCCGGAAUUAUUGGGCGUAAAGGGCUCGCAGGCGGUUUCUUAAGUCUGAUGUGAAAGCCCCCGGCUCAACCGGGGAGGGUCAUUGGAAACUGGGAAACUUGAGUGCAGAAGAGGAGAGUGGAAUUCCACGUGUAGCGGUGAAAUGCGUAGAGAUGUGGAGGAACACCAGUGGCGAAGGCGACUCUCUGGUCUGUAACUGACGCUGAGGAGCGAAAGCGUGGGGAGCGAACAGGAUUAGAUACCCCCGUAGUCCCUGUCUCUUAUACA
rnacentral:rRNA from 1 species